UUCCAUUGUCAAACAAACAAUAUUUGUUCAUUUUCAUUCUAUUCAUCGUCAAUGAAACUUCAAAAUUCUUCGACGUUCAUUUCAACAUUGACGUUUCAUAAGGAACAGGAAUAAUUCAUUCUCAAAUGGAAUCCAAUGGAUCCAAUACCAAACAAUACAUUAGUGCUAUCUUGAUACGUAUACAGAUGGUAAUCCGGAAUUUUUUUCUGAUUAUUUGGAGUGUUAAUAACAGAAUCAUCUUGUUUUAUACUCUGAAUAAAAAUUUUUUGUUUCAUUUAAA